rnacentral:rRNA from 1 species
GUCGUGAGACAGUUCGGUCCCUAUCCGGCGUAGGCGGAGGAUAUUUGAGAGGAGCUGCCCUUAGUACGAGAGGACCGGGGUGGACGGACCACUGGUGUAUCUGUUAGGAACCAAUCCUAUGGCAGAGUAGCCAAGUCCGGCAGGGAUAAACGCUGAAGGCAUCUAAGCGUGAAGCCCCCCUCAAGAUGAGAUAUCCCAACAUGUAAGACCCCUUGAAGACUACGAGGUAGAUAGGCUUAAGGUGUAAGUGCAGUAAUGUAUUCAGCUGAUAAGUACUAAUAGGUCGAGGGCUUCAUCA